rnacentral:lncRNA from 1 species
UAUCAUGUCCAUGGUGAGAUGCCAGUUGGGGAAUUUGUUUAUUUUAUUCGGCAUCAGAUCGAGCUCCCCAUGUCCAAGCCUCUGUUUGUUCUUCAAAAACACUGAACCUGCUGCUGGUGAGCCACAAACUCAUUUUUAUUUUAGGCAUAACAAUAUCGCCUUGUCGCACAGUUAAAGUUGUGGUGGUGAUGGUUGUAAUGAUUCUAACAAAUGUAAAUGUUACAGAUGCCUUGAUGUCAGAAGUGGAUGGGGAAAAUAGGGAUGAAGAUGGGUUUCUUCACAUGUCCUACAGUGGAGAAGCGAAUGCCUCUGGAUCCAUCAAUCACGAGCAAGAAUGGAUGGACAAGGCACUGCCUGGAUAUCGCCGGUUGUACAUGCAAGGUGCUUAGUCAUCAAACUUUGAUAUCCAGAAAUGGGAGGGGAUCAACAGUACUGGAACUAUAUUGAAGUUUAUGGCAUUCCAUUCCAUGGUUGGAGACUUUAAUGCAUGUACUUGAAGUAUAUUUUGAGGACUAUGCGUCGGACGGCGUAAAUAUGAUAAACUUUCUUCUGUGUCUAAAUAGGGAUUUUGUGUGUCUGCAUUUUCAUGCACUUGGGAAUUCCUCAUCAAUAACGCCUUUUAUUCCCAUAAAAAAAUGCUUAAAUUUGAAAUUUAGAUGUGGGUUUGUUGAUGGAUUAAUUUCGGGAAUUCAUUUGUUAAAGUAUCACAUUGAAUUUUAAAGAGUGGACUUGAAUUGGAUUUUGACAGCUAGUGGUAUUCCUCUUCACUGAUAAGUGAGACGUCUUACGUUCGAUUAUUGCCAAAGGCGAAUUUGAACUGCAUUAUUGCUAGACUUGGCAGUCUUUGACACGACACGGUGACACGAUACGAAAAUAAUGGGUUUCGGGUCAACACGAUAACUUAUCGGGUCACUAACGGGUUCUUAACAGGUAUACACGCGGGUAACACGUGGGUAACCCGUUUCGACCCGUUAAGAAAAAAAUUAUUUUAAUAAUUUUAAUGUUUAAUUACUAAAAGAUUUAUUAUAAAAUACAAUAGUCAUAUUAAUAUAUACAAUAUAUUCUAUAUUAAAUAUAUAGUUUUGUAUUAUCGUUCUAUAUAAAUUAUAAAAAAAUAAAAAAAAAGUUUUAGUCAUUAUUUAUUUUUAUUAUGAGAGUUCCUUAUUAUCAUUACUAGGAUAAAUUUUACAUAACAUAUUCUUGUCCAAAAUUAAAAUAUACUAGUAUAGUAUUUGUAUAUGCAAGAACUAAGAAGACAUACAUACAAGUAUGAAAAAUGUGAAAGAUAUAUAAACACUUGUGAUUUAUCAUUAUUCCUCUACGAAUAGAUAAUUGUUACACUUAUAUUAUCGUUUAGAUUUUUAAAAUCCUUCAAACCCUCAUGAAUAAUGUUUUUUAUUUGAGGGAAAAAUUAAUAAAAUUAAUAAUAAUUAUUGUAGAAGUGUAAAAAAUGUAAAAAUAUAUAUAUACGACUCAUAUAUAAAAAAAUGUAAAUGCUUUAAAUUAAAAAUCAAAUUUAUUCAUUACAUUCUUAUAGGGUCGAAGAGUGUAUAUGUACAAAAUCAUCAAAAUCGAAGCUAAAAUAACCGUUAAAUUGUAAUUUUUCGUUUAUAACCGUCGAAAACUUUUGUUCCGUUACGUAAUCUCUUAGGAUUACAUCAAGGCUCAUCCUUAAGUCCUUACCUUUUUGCGUUGGUAAUGGAUGAGUUAACAGGACAUAUUCAAGGUGAUAUUCCUUGGUGUAUGCUUUUCGCAGACGAUAUAGUGUUGAUAGAUGAAACUCAAGAAGGGGUAAAUGCAAAGCUUAACCUUUGGAGAGAAGUGUUGGAAUCUAAAGGUCUUCGCCUAAGCCGAUCAAAGACAGAAUAUAUGGAGUGCAAGUUCAGUGCAAAUGGAGGCCAAAACGAGUUAGGGGUGAGGAUCGGAGAUCAAGAAAUACCAAAGAGCGACCGUUUUCGUUACCUAGGAUCUAUCUUGCAAAAGAACGGAGAAUUAAAUGGAGAUCUCAACCAUAGAAUACAAGCUGGAUGGAUGAAGUGGAAGAGUGCAUCCGGCGUGUUGUGUGACCGCCGUAUGCCACUGAAGCUCAAGGGAAAAUUUUAUAGGACGGCAAUAAGGCCGGCGAUACUGUAUGGCACAGAAUGUUGGGCGGUGAAGCAUCAACACGUACACAAAAUGGGUGUAGCGGAGAUGAGGAUGCUUCGUUGGAUGUGUGGGCACACGAGAAAGGAUAAGAUUAGGAAUGAGGAUAUCCGGGGUAAAGUAGGAGUAGCCGAAAUUGAAGGAAAGAUGAGAGAAAAUCGGUUACAGUGGUUUGGACAUGUGCAAAGAAGGCCUACUGACGCUCCGAUUAGAAGAUGCGACUAUGGGAUAGAGGUUCAGGGCCGAAGGGGCAGAGGAAGACCUAGGAAAACUUUGGAAGAGACCCUAAGAAAAGACUUAGAGUACUUGGAUCUAACGGAGGACAUGACACAGGACAGAACACAAUGGCGUUCUAAAAUUCAUAUAGCCGAUCCCACUCAGUGACUUGGAUUUUCCAAGUCUCCAACCAAGAAGUUUUCCUCACUCGGGAAAUUAAGGGAACACUACCUCAACCUAUAUGCUCCACUCACAAAGCUUCAACGUACAAGCUUCAACAAAAGAAAAUUCAAAGAACUUAGCGAAGAAGGCUUUGGUGUAUUUAACACAAUACGUUGAAAUGAAGGAAAGCUUAUUUAUUGAUAUCCCCGAUAAGUUACAAAUAUGUACAUAUACUUGAGUCAAAAUAAACAAACAAGAGGGAACCUUCACAAAGGUUGCUUAGGAGAAGUCUCAGCAGUCGGUAGAGCCCCAGAAAGAGAAGGCACCGGAGGAGGGAUCAUUCGGAGCCUCAGUACUGGACAAAACCCUAGAAGGAGGAGGCAUCAGAGGUUGAUCAUUUGGAGCUUCAUUACGCGGUACAGCCCCAGAAGACGAAGGCAAUAAAUGCCUUUGGAACAAACCCACAAAUCUCUGAUGAUCAAGUAAAACCUGACCAUCAGAUUCCUUCAUCUGGUCAAGCUUCCUCUUCAUGUUUGUAGCAUAUAGUCAUGUGCGAGCCGGUGCAACUGUUUAUUCUCAUGCUUGAGCCCUCUAAUCUCCUGUUUGAGACUCAUCACUUCAGCCCCCAAUGAUUCAACUUGGCGGGUUCGAGCAAAUAGGCGUUGGGCCAUAUUAGACACAGAACCUGCACACUGAACACUGAGAGCCAGAGAAUCCUUAACAGCCAACUCAUCAGACCGUUUGGAAAGUAGUCUGUUAUCUUUGGGAGUGAGAAGGUUCCUGGCCACUACCGCAGCGGUCAUAUCAUUCUUCAUCACGGAAUCCCCAACGGUAAGAGGACCAGUAGGGGAGACGAAGGAUGGGCGCCAUAUGUUGUCUGGAGAAGGCGGGGCUGCCUCUUCAACAAGGUUCAAGUCAAAACGACGGUCGGAGGGGCCAGACAUUUUCAAAGGUGUUGAAGAGAGAAGAGGUCGGACAAAUCAAGAUCUUAGAAGUGCAAGAAUGGAGCUUCUACUGGUGGAUAUUCAAGUGUGCUUUGGAACUUAAUGUCAGCCCCUAUAAAAAAUCUGCACUCGACGAAGCUUCAGAAAUCGAAGAGGCGCCUGCUCAGAAAUCGAAGAGGCGUUUGCUUUUCUCAAAAGCUGGGCUGCUCAGAGACCACGAGGGUCGAUCUCAGAAAUCGAAGAGGCGUUUGCUUUCUCAAAAGCUGGGCUGCUCAAAGACCACGAAGGCCGAUCUCAGAAAUCGAAGAGGCUUGCUUUCUCAAAAGCUGGGCUGCUCAGAGAGACCACGAGGGCCGAUCUCAGAAAUCGAAGAGGCACCUACUUUUCCAGCCUUGUCAGCACCUGUCACACGCACACUCAGCUUUGCGGAAAUUAUGGGCAUUCUGUCGAAGAUUUCUGACGAAGUAGAAAGCACAUGAAUCGUACUGUUCAAUCACCCACUUCCCACACGCAACAGUAGCUCAUGGGUACCACAGAUAACUUUGCCAAAGUUCUCUGACAAAGUUGAGACACGUGAAGCUUGCAGCUCCCACUACAUCGCUCUGACCAAGAAGGGUAAAAGAAUUGCAAAGAAACAACACUAACAAAGUUUAAACACAUAAAUUUUGAAGGUUUAGCUACCAUAUUAUUACCCACAAGGGUAAAGGAACAGUACCACUGCUGGAUAAUUGGAAAGUCCCGGUGUGUCAACCUCUGUGCUUCGUGGCAAGGUAGACUAGCAAACAUGCCCAACCUUUACUCACAUUCGAGAAAACACUCCCAACAAGAUUGCUUGCUCCAAAAUCGAAGAGGCACCGCCCUCCGAAUCUCGAGAGCCAGACUCCCAACAUGAUUACUUUCUCAAAAAAUCGAAGAGAGGGUAAAGGAACAGUACCACUGCUGGAUAAUUGGAAAGUCCCUGUGUGUCAACCUCUUGUGCUUCGUGGCAAGGUAGACUAGCAAACAUGCCCAACCUUUACUCACAUUCGAGAAAACACACUCCCAACAAGAUUGCUUGCUCCAAAAUCGAAGAGGCACCGCCCUCCGAAUCUCGAGAGCCAGACUCCCAACAUGAUUACUUUUCUCAAAAAUCGAAGAGACACCGCUCUCCGAAUCUCGAGAGCCAGACCCCCAGCAGGAUUGCUUUCUCAAAAAUCGAAGAGGCAUCGUUCUCCGAAUCUCGAGAGCCAGAUCCCCGACAGGAUUGCUUGUUCGAAAAUCGAAGAGGCACCACUUUCCCAACUUCAAGAGCUGGAUCUCCUUGGAUAAAGCUUGUCUGUAAUCUUCACACGCAACAUCAGCUUUCCAGAUACCACAGACCACUUUUUCAAAGUGCUCUGACAGAGUUAAAACAUGUGAAGCUGGCAGCUCCCACUACCGUGCUAUAACCAAGCAGGGUAAAGGAAUAGCAUUAUUACUUGAUGUUAGGGAGACUCCUAUAUAUGUCGACCUCCAUCCCUAACGGACAGGCAGACCUGCAAAAAUGCUCAACCCUUUCUCUUAUCUGAGAGGGCACUCCCAACGAAGCCUUUCGAAAUAUUCAGCUUUCUUUCCCCCCGAUAAUACCUCUGUAAACAAGCUAUACUAGAGCAAGAAUAUCUCAUAUCAUCAGGGUUAAAAGCAAGAGUAUCCCAUAUCAUGCUUUUUCCCUGUCUUUUCCUUUGGCCUUUGUUCUUACCUGCAAGACAAGGAGAAAGAGAGCAAUCAGUCAGCACUUGGAAUCAAGCUUCCAGCCAGGAACUGACUGCCUGGAACCCCUUACCUGAUUACUUACCUGGCAUUGCUCUCGAGUACUCAUCUUCAACAUCUUAUGCUUCCAGGGAAGAUACCGCAUCUGCCUGAGGAACAAAUAGGGCAAGUGAGAAGGAUACAAGGAAGCAUGUGGAGACAAGCGUAACAGCACACGUGCCGAUACAUCCAUUACUCUGUCAAAAGCAAAAGUAUCCCAUAUCAGCAGGGUCGAACGUACUCUAGAUUUGAUGGACUUGUUUUGACCCUCAAAUUCUUCAGUCGGCCUUAUACUCUGGAGGAAACCAGAAAACCCUCCAGCCCAGUUCAAGAAUAAGCCUGUGGAAAGUUACUUCUUCAAAAGCAAAAGUAUCCCAUAUCAUCUCUCCUCAUUUUUCUUCUCUUUAUCCUUCAUGCUGCCUGCAAGAUAGGGAGAAUGUGAACAAUCAGCCGAAGCUCUGAUUGCUUACCUUGUCUGUCACCUCUUUCAGCAGAUCCCCUAGCUCGGCGACUUGGGGGACUCCUACUACAUGGUUUGUAUCG